UUCCUUCUCUCUCUCUCUCUCUCUCUCUCAUAGCAAUAGUUGUAGACCAGUAGUAAGUAAGAAGGGAUGGAGCAGAGAAAAGCAGUAGGUGACAUGAAGCGAAGUGAGUCAGAACUGGCCCUCCAAGAGGUUAUCAAGAAGACCACCCAAAUUAGAGGUGAAGAAAUGAAGGAAAAUCGUGACAACUCUUUUUCUGCUGAGCUCGACAGCUUCUUUGGCGAUGAUCUCUCUUUCUCCUUCAAAACUCUGGACGCGAUGAAUGGUUUUUCAAGUUGUGGACUCCCAGAAUCAUUUGUUGUGUGGUCUCAAAACAUCAGCCCCAAGCAAUCCAGCAUUUCAUCA
rnacentral:misc_RNA from 1 species